CUUCUUUUUCCACCGGAGCUUGCUCCACCGGAAAAAGAAGAGUGGCGAACGGGUGAGUAACACGUGGGUAACCUGCCCAUCAGAAGGGGAUAACACUUGGAAACAGGUGCUAAUACCGUAUAACAAUCGAAACCGCAUGGUUUUGAUUUGAAAGGCGCUUUCGGGUGUCGCUGAUGGAUGGACCCGCGGUGCAUUAGCUAGUUGGUGAGGUAACGGCUCACCAAGGCCACGAUGCAUAGCCGACCUGAGAGGGUGAUCGGCCACAUUGGGACUGAGACACGGCCCAAACUCCUACGGGAGGCAGCAGUAGGGAAUCUUCGGCAAUGGACGAAAGUCUGACCGAGCAACGCCGCGUGAGUGAAGAAGGUUUUCGGAUCGUAAAACUCUGUUGUUAGAGAAGAACAAGGAUGAGAGUAACUGUUCAUCCCUUGACGGUAUCUAACCAGAAAGCCACGGCUAACUACGUGCCAGCAGCCGCGGUAAUACGUAGGUGGCAAGCGUUGUCCGGAUUUAUUGGGCGUAAAGCGAGCGCAGGCGGUUUCUUAAGUCUGAUGUGAAAGCACCCCGGCUCAACCGGGGAGGGUCAUUGGAAACUGGGAGACUUGAGUGCAGAAGAGGAGAGUGGAAUUCCAUGUGUAGCGGUGAAAUGCGUAGAUAUAUGGAG
rnacentral:rRNA from 1 species